CGCAACUUGCGCCCCUUGGUAUUCCGAGGGGCACGCCUGUCUGAGUGUCGUGAAUUCCUCCACUCACCAUCCUUUUUUGUGUUGGUUGAGCUGGGAUCUGGGGGUUUGUGGGGUCCCUCUGUGGUCCACUCCUCUUGAAUGCAUGAGUAAAGACCUGUAUAGGCCCCGGUGUGAUAGAUAUCUACGCCACGGCUCUAUGCGGAAUGGUGCUUUGCUUCGAACGGUCCCCUCUGUGGGACAAACUCGAUCGAACACUUGACCUCAGAUCAGGCGGGACUACCCGCUGAACUUAA
rnacentral:misc_RNA from 1 species